UACGGGGGGAGCAAGCGUUGUUCGGAUUUACUGGGCGUAAAGGGCGCGUAGGCGGUCAGCACAAGUCAGUUGUGAAAUCUCCGGGCUUAACCCGGAAAGGUCAACUGAUACUGUGCGACUAGAGUGCGGAAGGGGCAACUGGAAUUCUCGGUGUAGCGGUGAAAUGCGUAGAUAUCGAGAGGAACACCUGCGGCGAAGGCGGGUUGCUGGGCCGACACUGACGCUGAUGUGCGAAAGCCAGGGGAGCGAACGGG
rnacentral:rRNA from 1 species